rnacentral:lncRNA from 1 species
GAAAAUGUCCCAGGAAAGACAGAGGGCUCCUCUGAGACCCACUGUGCUGGGUGUUUUUUAGAGAACGCAUGUCUAUUUGUGGGAAGUACACCCUAGUGGGUCAAGAGAAGGCGCUUCCACCCUCAUCUCUGCUACAGAAGUGAUCUCUGAUGCCUGGGGCAACACAUUAACCCACCCACCCACCUUGAGCCUGUUUCCUCAAAUGUAAAGAAUAAGAUGAAGCCAGUACUUCCCAAACCCGGCUGUACAUCAGAAUUUGUGGGAAACUCGUUAGGAAUACUGAUUCCCGGGCAUGGCUUCGGACCAACUGAAUCCGAAUAUCUGGGGAGUGGGACCCAGGAGUCUGUUUGUAAUCAAGUAUCUGUGAAGGCAUCUGUUACCUGCAUAUCCCUAAGGUCUACUGCUUUAUAAGAUGCCCUUGGAUUUAGAAAUUCAAAUAAUGGAGAACAUAGCUCCAUUCCCCAACUCCACGGCUAGUAUUUUGUAUUUCUGGAGAUUGAUUCUUGAGGGAGGCUUAGGUUACUGCUAGGCAUAUCCUAGUCUGUUCUCUUCUCUCCUCCCAAUGCCAGCCUAAACUGGAAACAGGUUUUGUUCUCUUUUUAAAGAUGAAAUGUGUCUCUAGCUAUGUUAGUAGAGGAGAACAUUACCUAAGAGUCCAGGAAUUCUCCACCUUCCUAUUCUUAAAGAUCUCCCCGACCAGGCCACCCACUGGGAAUUUCCUUUCUCCUCAGGCCCCAAUUUUCUGCCAUCUCUUUAUUCCACUGAGUAGUCUCUGCCCAAUUUCCCCAAAGUUUACGCAUACCAGCUACUUAAAGUCUAGGCCAAACUUUGCAUAUCUCAAAAUGCAUUAAAACAACCAUGUUAAAAGGUCUUUUAGGAACACAAAGCAAUCACAGAUGUUCCAAAAUACCUUCUUUUUGAAGUAAACAAUCUAGCUAGGCUCUCACCUCCCCAUUCCACCAGGAUAUAAUCACCCUUAACCACUGGGAAGAAGGUUAUGGUAACACGACCAUU